UCCUGCUCCCUCUCCCCUUUCAACACGCCUGAUCUCAUCUGAUCUCAGAAGCUAAGCAGGGUCGGGCCUGAUUAGUACUUGGAUGGGAGUCCUUCACUUUUAAAGAAUUGAGAAUAUUGAUAU
rnacentral:rRNA from 1 species